GGGCUCGUAGCUCAGUUUGGUUAGAGCGCUUCUCUGAUAAGGAAGAGGUCAUGAGUUCAAAUCUCAUCGGGCCCA
rnacentral:tRNA from 1 species